AGAGUUUGAUCCUGGCUCAGGACGAACGCUGGCGGCGUGCCUAAUACAUGCAAGUAGAACGCUGAAGAGAGGAGCUUGCUCUUCUUGGAUGAGUUGCGAACGGGUGAGUAACGCGUAGGUAACCUGCCUUGUAGCGGGGGAUAACUAUUGGAAACGAUAGCUAAUACCGCAUAACAAUGGAUGACACAUGUCAUUUAUUUGAAAGGGGCAAUUGCUCCACUACAAGAUGGACCUGCGUUGUAUUAGCUAGUAGGUGAGGUAAUGGCUCACCUAGGCGACGAUACAUAGCCGACCUGAGAGGGUGAUCGGCCACACUGGGACUGAGACACGGCCCAGACUCCUACGGGAGGCAGCAGUAGGGAAUCUUCGGCAAUGGGGGCAACCCUGACCGAGCAACGCCGCGUGAGUGAAGAAGGUUUUCGGAUCGUAAAGCUCUGUUGUAAGUCAAGAACGGGUGUGAGAGUGGAAAGUUCACACUGUGACGGUAGCUUACCAGAAAGGGACGGCUAACUACGUGCCAGCAGCCGCGGUAAUACGUAGGUCCCGAGCGUUGUCCGGAUUUAUUGGGCGUAAAGCGAGCGCAGGCGGUUUGAUAAGUCUGAAGUUAAAGGCUGUGGCUCAACCAUAGUUCGCUUUGGAAACUGUCAAACUUGAGUGCAGAAGGGGAGAGUGGAAUUCCAUGUGUAGCGGUGAAAUGCGUAGAUAUAUGGAGGAACACCGGUGGCGAAAGCGGCUCUCUGGUCUGUAACUGACGCUGAGGCUCGAAAGCGUGGGGAGCGAACAGGAUUAGAUACCCUGGUAGUCCACGCCGUAAACGAUGAGUGCUAGGUGUUGGAUCCUUUCCGGGAUUCAGUGCCGCAGCUAACGCAUUAAGCACUCCGCCUGGGGAGUACGACCGCAAGGUUGAAACUCAAAGGAAUUGACGGGGGCCCGCACAAGCGGUGGAGCAUGUGGUUUAAUUCGAAGCAACGCGAAGAACCUUACCAGGUCUUGACAUCCCGAUGCUAUUUCUAGAGAUAGAAAGUUACUUCGGUACAUCGGUGACAGGUGGUGCAUGGUUGUCGUCAGCUCGUGUCGUGAGAUGUUGGGUUAAGUCCCGCAACGAGCGCAACCCCUAUUGUUAGUUGCCAUCAUUCAGUUGGGCACUCUAGCGAGACUGCCGGUAAUAAACCGGAGGAAGGUGGGGAUGACGUCAAAUCAUCAUGCCCCUUAUGACCUGGGCUACACACGUGCUACAAUGGUUGGUACAACGAGUUGCGAGUCGGUGACGGCGAGCUAAUCUCUUAAAGCCAAUCUCAGUUCGGAUUGUAGGCUGCAACUCGCCUACAUGAAGUCGGAAUCGCUAGUAAUCGCGGAUCAGCACGCCGCGGUGAAUACGUUCCCGGGCCUUGUACACACCGCCCGUCACACCACGAGAGUUUGUAACACCCGAAGUCGGUGAGGUAACCUUUUGGAGCCAGCCGCCUAAGGUGGGACAGAUGAUUGGGGUGAAGUCGUAACAAGGUAACC
rnacentral:rRNA from 2 species